rnacentral:rRNA from 1 species
UACGAAGGGGGCUAGCGUUGCUCGGAAUUACUGGGCGUAAAGGGAGCGUAGGUGGACUGUUUAGUCAGAGGUGAAAGCCCAGGGCUCAACCUUGGAAUUGCAUUGGAUACUGGCAGGCUAGAGUGCGGUAGAGGGUAGUGGAAUUCCCGGUGUAGCAGUGAAAUGCGUAGAAGAUCGGAAAGAACACCAACGGCGAAAAGCACUCUGCUGGGCCGACACUGACACUGGAGAGACGAAAGCUAGGGGAGCGAAUGGGA